rnacentral:rRNA from 1 species
CAGUAGGGAAGCGCAUGGAAUUAGCAGUACCUCGGAGAGAUUCAGGCCUGCGGAGCUUGUUCGAGCUGGUGUACAGAUCCGAAUGGACUGUCGGUGGUUUGCAACGGGCUUUGCGAGCUGCACUUCUCUUCGGCGGUGCGUCAACAAAUGUUGAGGAUGUACGUGAAACGCUUCUCUUGGAGGUGGCCGGCUUCGGCUGGUGUUACAACAUGAGUUGCCCAACGUACACUGGACAUGGGAGUGCGGUGCAUGCCUUCGGGCUGGCCCCUUCGGCUACAAUGAGUUGUCGAGCAUAGUGGACUACGUGUAGUGCACUUGAAAUGCAGUUCUUUGGAGUUGGAGGAAGGUACAAAUGUGCCAAGGUUGUUGGCGGUCAAAUGAUUUCAUACGACCCGUCUUGAAACACGGACCAAGGAGUCUAACAUGUGUGCGAGUCUUAGAGUGACAGAAACUCGAUGGCGCAAUGAAAGUGAACAGCAAUGUAGGUGAGAUCUGUUCCUCCUCGUGGGGGCAGCGCAUCAUCGACCGACCUAAUCUACUCUUAGACAGGUUUGAGUAAGAGCACAUACGCUGGGACCCGAAAGAUGGUGAACUAUGCUUGAGUAGGGUGAAGCCAGAGGAAACUCUGGUGGAGGCUCGUAGCGAUUUUGACGUGCAAAUCGAUCGUCAAACUUGUGCAUAGGGGCGAAAGACUAAUCGAACCAUCUAGUAGCUGGUUCCCUCCGAAGUUUCCCUUAGGAUAGCUGGAACUUGGAGAAACAGUUUCAUCCGGUAAAGCGAAUGAUUAGAGGCAUUAGGGAUGAAACAUCUUUAACCUAUUCUCAAACUUUCAAUGGGUGAGAAGUCUGACCUGCCUAAUAGAGGCCAGACAAUGAA